AACAAAGCAGCUGCGUCAAGCAGCUGCUGUAAAGGGGGGAUGAGGGGCGGCGGACGCGUAGCUGGAGGCGUAGGAUGGAUGAGUGGAUGAUUAGGGGAUGUGGAAGCGUAUUAGAGCUUGAUUAGGCUUUAAAAAGGGAAGAAAAAUGAAGAAUGGAGAUGGAGAGAAACCCAGAAAACAGAGGAGGAAAUUUUUGGAGAAUUCGAGUUUUUGGUUGCUUAAAAUUGGACAUCAAUCGAGGGUAAAGGAAGAGGGGUUGUUGCUGAGGAAUCUUUUGAGGAAAGGGAUACGGCCCCGAGCUGAAUCGAACGGUAAUUCGAAGGGAGGAGAGGUUGAAGACGAGCGCGUGAAGGACACGCGAGGCGCGUGGGAGGCCGCGAGUGGAAGUGCGACUGUGCGAGGAUCAGGCGCGUGAGAAAACGAUAUUGACCUUGUGUUGGCGCGUGAGGGCGCGUGCGAAGGUCUAAUAGGAAGGAAUUGUGUUGAAAUACUAUUAAACGUA